rnacentral:lncRNA from 1 species
UUUUUUUGGCAGAGAAAAUCAAUCUGUUUUAUAAAUAGUCAUUUAAUAUUUAAAAUGUAUUUACUUCUUAUUUCAGUUUAUCUUGUUGUUCUCUGUGGAAUAAAGACUUGCAGAAUACCUAAUCAGUAAGUGUUGAGUUAAUGUUAUAAAUCUCAAAUAAAAAAGAGUUGUGCUUAAAACCCAGGAUGUAUUUGAUAUUUAAGUGUGUUUUUUUUAUAUUUAAACCAAAUUGUUUUGUAUCCGGGCUUCAUGCAAUUACUUUGAUAAAAAUAUGGCGGCUUUCUGAUUAUUUGAUAAAUAAUUAAAUGAUACUGUAUAAUAAUAUGAUUUGGCAAAUGAUGAAAAUUUAUCUAAAACAAUUACAGUUCGAUACAAAAUUGAAAAAAAAAUAAACUAAAAUAUGAGACAAAAGAGACGCUUAUAAAUCAAAAACAUAAUUUUAUGUUUUGAAGUGCUGCAUUCGCAUCUGAUGACGUGUACAAGCUAUAACUUUAACAGCUAUGUAGAAUAUUAUAUCAAAAAUGACCUUAAAGUUAAUGAAAGUAACGAAAAUCAUAAAAGUUACUUUCAAAAUCACUCUAACUCCAGAACCAAAAAACAGUCGGUACAGGCAUCAUGUCUGUUUAUAUAAUGUUUCGCUUUAAACAUGGUAUGCGACGAUGUAUCAUCUUACAUCUUGAUUGUGACAUCUGUUAUAUAACUUAAACAUUGAAACAUGGUAUAUUUAAACUCGGGGAACAUUUUGAAAUCCUUCAACUGCAUAGAAUUAUGGCAUGAUAGACGAAUUAAUUCAAUGCAAAAUGUUCCAUCUUCUUAUUGUCUGACAUACUUAUAUUAAAUGAAGGCUCAUAGAUACAGCCGAUUGCAAUUUAAUUUUGGUAAUGUGACUUCAUGAAAUGUGUUAGAAUUACCAUUAGUUAGUUAUGUAAUUCUGAAUAAUAUUUCAUUGAACAACAGUAUCCAAUAAACAACUGUUGCUGACCACGUCAUCGUCUUUGAGCACAUUCUGAACCCAAUUUUAAUUGAUAUGCCGUUUUAUAUUUUUUAUUUUACUAGUGGUUAUCUUUGUGGUAAUUGCAAUGUAUAAUUUUUCUUUGGUUUAUACAUAAUUAUGAUAUAGAUAGGCAAGGGUGUAUGUAAAUAAAAAACAAUAACAUCAUACUUACACUCGUUUUUUUUGGAUGCACUGUUCAAUUGAUCUUUCUGUACACUUUAACAUAUUUUUAUGCAUGGCGAAAUAAAAAAAAACAAACUAUAAAGACUUCCAUCCGACUCAUUUACAAUGUCGGUCGUAUGUCUUUACUUUUGUUCUCUAGCCUUUUCUAUAUAAGAAUAAACAUUUAUUUUAGCAAGACCUAUCAAUUGAUUUUUGCUAAAUGAACACUGAGAAAUGAUAUAUAAUAUCGUGUGUAGUAAGGUGAACGUUUUCUUUAUUUCAUGAAAAAUCAUACCGGUAGUUUUAUUGGUAAAACUUAAACAGUUUGAUAGAAUAUUUUAUACAUUUAGCUGCUUUGAAAAUGUGUGAUAUUUAAGAUGUUCUAAAUAAGAUAUUAAUUUUUCUGGUAGGAAUAAUAAUGAUUCGUCUAGUUGUUGUGGAAACCACCAAGAAGUGAAUGGUGUAUGCAUAGGUAUGUUAUCGAUUAACAUAUAUCACAGUCAAUGUUUUGGGGGAUGUUGUAACAGUCGGUCUUAUUUCUUCAUGACUUGGUCCUCUAGCUUUGCAUCUAUUUUUUCAAAAAUGCAAGCUUUACCAUAUCUUGAUUGGCAUUUGCAUUUAAGCAACACACACAUUUUUGGAAGAAUUUAAAAAAAAAAAUAGUAUGCCAUUGCAACUAAUCCAAAUGGUAACGCCUGUUGUUUUUAGACGCAUACAUGACAUAUUUCAAAUGUUUUCUUAUCCAUUCAUUAUAUGAUUACGGGAUCCAGUAACUAGUAGAUUUAUUCAUACUCGUACAAUAUUCGUUCGUAUUAUCCUGACUAAUGAAAUCCCGAAUUCAUCCGACACAUUUUUCUUUUCGUAUGCAAUGUUUUCUCAAAGAAAGCUGCUAUCGAUAUCACAAGCAUUCUUGUAAAAAUUAAAAUUAAAAUUAUUCACUACACAGGGUUUUUAACAGGUAUAACAUGGCCGUGAUUCUAUCUAAAUGUUAUUGGUUUUUAUCGCAUUACCUAUACUUUUUUAUUUGCGUUAACGAGCGAAGAAUGGAUGCACAAAAAUGGCAGAUAUAAAACAUUCAUCUUAAUUGUAAUGGCGACAUAUUUUUGUGCUUAAAACCCCGAGUGUUUUACAAACAACAGAUUUGUGUUAUUGUCUUAAUGCAAUAUGACCAGUUACCUCUGUAGUCGUCAUUUACUAUCAUUUCAGUUAAAGCUAUAUGAAACUUUAAAUCUAAAAACAAAUAUGAUGCAUGUUUUUAUAACUUAAUGGCUAGUUUUUGAUAUAAAACUUAUGAACAUAAUCUAUAAUUUGUCAAAAUUUAGAAAACAAUUACUUUUUUUUUUAAUCUUUGCUAGCCCAGUAAACAAUUCUCAGAUAUGUUUUCCGUACGCAGUGAACUCAGCGAUAUUUUCUCGUAAAAAUCCUGGCAUCGAAAUACGCAUGGAUCUGUCAUUGAAAUAAACUAGUAUCUUAUUGUACAUGUAAUACACAUGCUCAAUAUACAUGCUUAAUGUUGAUUGUUUACUAUAAAGGUGACAAUCGGUUAAGUACAGCUUCAUUACACGACAUUGAUUAGCUGCCAUAUUUUCACAUCAGAACAGACCGAGAGAGAGAACAAAAUACGAUUAUACGUUAUGGAUGCGUAAAACAUGAUAUUUUUGUGAUCCGAAGACUAAGUUUAUGAAAUUUACAUGCAUUGGUUCAUGAAUUGGACAAACAUUACUUUUCACCAGUCACUCGUGUCAUAUUACUUAAGUAACGAAUACUUCUAAAAAUGUAUUUACAGUAUAUAGUAUCGGGUAUAUGGUCAGGCUCUGGUGACCGUCUUUUUCCUGAAAGUACAUCAAUGGCCAUCCCAGUGCAUUUUACUUCUUUUUCAUACGCAAUAAUAAAAUCGAUAUUUUAAAAGAAGUUUAGUUUUAUUAAAAACCUUAAUAAUUUCCAACCUCCAUGCAUUGCCAAAGUCUUUUUUUUGGCACAACGUAUUCGAAUUUGUAUGCUUGAUUUUGCAUUUAUUUUGAUUCGAAAAGCACUGAUCAGUCUCAUGUACACAGAACGUGUGUAAAUAUAUCGUAGCAAAUUAAAAGCCUAUCAUUCUCAAUGAUUUUUUAUCAUUCUAUUUUAUAAGCAUAAUUAAAUGUUUAGUUAUAGUCGUGAUUCUUUUAACUCUGAUAUAUUAUAUUUUAAAAUUGUACACUAAUGUAUCUUGAUAUUUCAUUUAUUUCAGUGUGCCCUCCCGGCUUCAUCGGAACUAAAGGAAAAUGUGAAACGCCCUGUCCAUUAGGAUUUUAUGGAAUAGAAUGCCAACGCGAAUGUAACUGUAGUCAUGACAAAUGGUAAAUGUUAUUGUUUUAAGGGCAUGCGAUGCAGUUUCAGGAAUGUUUAUAAAGUUGCUAACGUAAAUGUUAUCUGGCUUUGCAAUCGGUUGUUUUAAACAAUACCCAGACGAAUCACUCGCAACCUGUUUGCUUCAAAUACAAAAGGCAGUCAUUAUUUGUCCUUAGAACAUACUCUUUCUCGCACUCUAAUAGAGGACUUUCCAUGCACUAUAAAAUACUGUCCUUGAAUGACUUUUCAUUGUAGAUUCAACCUGGUGUAGAUAAAUUAUGAAAGACAUUCUAAUAACUACACUAACGAAGUGUACAAUCCCCUGAGGCAUAUUCCUUGGGAAAAAUAAAGAUGAAAGAAAAAAGAAUAAAAAAAAAUAUAGCAUCUUGAAUUUUGCAAUGUUUAUACAUUUUGUAAUGGUACACAUAUUAAUAGUAAAAAAAUGAAAUGGGGGUAAACAUGGAGGUAAAUUAAUAAUUAUUCAAUUGUUAUACCUGACAUUCGAGCAAAAAAUGUCUUUUUAAGAAAACAAUAUCAGACUGCUGAUGCUUAUAAAGUAAAGGAUUUGUUUCUCUCGAAAAACACAAUACAUGUACUUUUAUCAAAAAAAUAAAAUAGCAACAAAUGUUAAAUGGUCUAAAUUCAAAUAUUUAUACAGUGCGAUUUAUAAUUAUAAAAAAAAUAUCAAAUUUCAAAAAGCGGAUUCUUAAAACAUUGUGUGCUUUUUGAAAUAAUAAAAAUGAAAUAUAUAAGUAUUAACUUUUACCUACAGCAGAAGAAAAACUUUGAACAAUUUUUCUUUUCUCGUCCUCACAAAGUAUGCCAAUGCUAUUUCAUUCCAUCUAUUGAAAUGAUCAUGAAUUAUGUUAUACAAUAUAUUCGUUAUAAAAAGUGAUUUCUUAUUUAGGUUGUAAUAUUAUAAUGGAAAAGGAUAAUUUUUUGUAAGGUCACUCGAAAGUGUAAAUAUUUUCUUAAAUUGGCCAGACAAUACUUACUCAUGUUUUAUGAAGAUUUGAAUAAAAUUGAGAAUGGAAAUGGGGAAGCAUUUAUAAGAUAUAUCCAAGUAUUGUCUAACUUAUAAUUAGUGAUGUCAUAACCGAGGAAAUAAUAAGUGAGUUUUGUCUUCAAGAGGAAUAUACAAAAAGCAAUCAUCAUACGAAACACGCUUUCUUUAGCUGAUCUUUUUGAACCAACUAUACUUUCGACCCUGUUUAAUCGCGUCUAUGUUUUGACAAAACUAUGAAUCGUUCUAAAUAUCAUGAGGGGAGAUGUAUGUGGUAUCUCAUGAAUAAGAUAAAGUGUUGAACAUUGUUUUUAGAUAAGACUCCAAUUACAGGAUUUGAACGUCAUUGAAAAAUUAUUUGUAGUCAAUGAUAUUAAACCUUACAUAUUUAAUUUAAAUGAUUGAUGUACGAAAGCUAUGGUGGUUUUACUCUCAAAUAUUUUCGUAUUUCAGGUGCAAUCAUGUUCUAGGAUGUAUUUGUAAUUCUCUUUUUCCUAAUUGCCACAUAGGUAUGGUUACAAGUUUUAACUGGUGCAAUGCCCUAUCAUUCAUUUUAUCAUUAAUAAAUAGAUUAAAAGAACACAACAUAGAGGAUAUUUCAUCGACACAUAUUUGGACUAUGAUUUUGACUUCUGAAAGUGGUAUCAGUAUGUGGUUCCCGUUCUGAAUACAUUAUAGUAUAGGUAAAAAUGCCCCAAAUAAAUUAUGGACUCCUGUCUUGAUUUGUAUUGAUUUUAUUCACGAUGCAUGCAGUUUAAUCAAAUAACAUAUAUAACUAAUAAAUACAUAGAAAGCACAUAACAAAAUACAACAUAACUACAGACAAAGGUUAAUAAAUCAAUCUAUACAAUUUACAAAUAAUCUGUAUUCUCAAUCUGAUAAUUUAAAAUCUCAUUAAAAGUGUGAUGUAAAGUAAAACAAAGAAGCAUGUGUACUCUUCGCUAUUGGCACUACCAAUUUUAAGGUAAUUAUUACAAAAUUAUACAAAAUUAAAUAUAUAAAAUAUAGAAUUGACUAGAAAAUUAUGAAAUAAUACACAUUCUUUGCCAUAUACGAGAUACAAAGGUCACGCCUGGGACUAUCAAUAGUGACAAUGAAACAUACCAGUAUACUGGAGUUCUUUAUCGUAACCAUAAUGGCAAGUUUAAUACUGACUAAAGACUGGAAAUCAUAGCUGCAUUUAUUAGAAUAUGCAAAAUGAAUAAAUAUAUGAUAAAAUCUAUACUAACUAAAUAGCAACUGUUCAUAUGUGAUGAACCAUUAAUUAUGACCCAGGCACAAGCAAAGACUUUGAAGUUUUAAAUGCUUCUUACCCAAACAAAAGUCAACCCGUCGUUAACAAGGUCUGACGAAGUAUGAAUAAAAGAUGUGCUAGAUGUACGUUUUCUUGAAACAAAUCAAAUAAACUCAUCAUAGAUACAUGGAUUCAAAUUUUAUAUAUUCGCCAGACGACACGGAAUAUCAAAAGAUAUGUAAACUUUGAACUUAUUUUAGACUGAUGCUGAUACAGGAGUCUCGCAGUUACAGUGUCAAUUUGUCAACAUUGGGCCGACAACUUACGUCUUAAACUUUGAUUUUUUUUUUAAUCUAUAAGAAGAAAAGUUCAAAACCAUAAAUCAGUUUUUAUCAUCCUGGUAUAUCCAGUACCUGAAAAAAAGUAAUGUUUGGCGGCAUGAAUAUACUGUUCGAUAACAUGUCUUAGAUCGUUAUUCCUUUUGUAAAAAUAUACUACAGUCAAAACAUUAGUCAUCAUACUACAAAUUAUUGUUUUUAUUCACACUUUUGUAUGUAUAGAUAAAGAAGAAAGGAUAUUUCACUCAUCAAAUGGUACUUCGAUUUCAACAGGUAUGGCCAUAUCUAAGUAAACAAAUGUUUAAUAUCUGUAUCAAAUAACUUUCAACUACAAAUUGGAGGUAAAAGAAAAUAUGUGAUGCUUGUAACUGUCAUGAUUUGUACGGAACAUUCUACAGAAUCAAAUUGUUCUCUGAACUCGAAAAGAGACACGGCAGCGGUGUUAUCAAUUUAAUGCAUCUCCUUAAAUCUUCGACAACUCGGGCGAUGUUUCCGUGAAUCAUUUUUUUAGCACCCGUUUUUGUUAUAGAUGUUGGUGUUUUGAAACUACUCGUAGAAAUGAUUUGAAUCCGUUAUAGCGAACAUUUUCUAAUAUUUAUUCAUUGCUAAUAAUAACAUCUUAAGAUGGAUAUAGUAAAAUUGAGAGAUAAAUAAUGGCAAGAUGAUUCCGUCAUAUAUCACUAGGAAAUAAUACGAAAGAUUUUUUUUUCUAAAAAUAAAUUAUGUUUAGCCGGUCGAAUUCAGAAAAACACACUAUACCUAGAAGAAUUAUGAAAAUAUAAGAAAACUUGGUAUAAUACCUUAAAUGAACGAUAGUAGAUUUGAAAGAUGUUAGAAUAUGGGAAAUGAGCUCGAGAAAGCAAACAACAAAAACUUUUAAAAGAAGGAACAUACACCUUAUGCUCUACACUUGGUUAUAAUGUGAACCGAAUAACAUGACAGCAUUAUUGUUCAUCAUGGCAUAUUGAUUUUAAACAUGUUUCUAGAAAUGUGAGACUGAAUUAUGACCCUUAAGUGAUCUUUGGUUUAAUUUGUCAUUAGCUUUUUAGGUUGAUGUAUCACUUCCCUUAAUUAUAUUAAUAAAAGAGUUAUUAAUUUGAUAAUGUUUUCUAUAACAGUAAAUAAAUAGGAAGUACAAAAUGUCAAAAGUUAAAACUUUCGAUUAGACUUCUCAAACAAACAGCUACACAUAAGCAAUACUGCAAUAGAAAGAAAAACUAAAUAAGAAUAAAAAUAAAAUAACAAAAUAAACAACAAAAACAACAACAAAACAAUUGGACCCUCUGAUUCAGUUUCAGAUAUACAGCAGGUUAAUUGGAUGAAGAUUUCAGUGAUAACUUGUACAACUGUUUUCUGUUUUUCAUCUUUAUCAAUGACCUCAAGUUUGAUAUAUUGGCAUUGGUAAGUAGUUUUAUUUUCUAGUAGAUACGUACAGGUCACAAACUGAGGCAUGUGUAUCCCCUGUAGCCAUACUUUUAUAUCUCGUGCACACGUAUACCAUUUUAUUUUAUUUUACAUUGGUUGGAACAUUUAAAGCUAUUAAAAAAAGUAUAUUUCUUCUAAAUGUGGACAAAUUAAAGAAUUUACUUCCAAAAAAAGUAUAUUUACAUAACUUUUAUAAUGAAAACUAUCUAUUUAGUUAUAAAAAAUAAAUGCAAUGUUUUUUUAAUUUAAAGUUUGAUAUGACUCAAAAACGUGUUAAAUGACAGUUUAAGAUUGCAGUCAAUAGUCCAUUGUUUAUAAAAGAAAAAUGAGAAUGGAAAUGAGAAAUGUGUCAAAGAGACAACCCGACAAUAGAGCAGACAACAGCCGAAGUCCACCAAUGGGUCUUAAAAAUGCAUGCUGACAUCAACAUAUAUGUUAAAGCUAGGUUAGUAGGCGGGGCUUAUUUAAAUUUCCGGUUGGUAGUGGUGCUACGUCCAUGAAUCACUUUGAAAGGCCACUAGUCUAAGUGCAACAUGUGCUAGUGACCUAAUACGAUAUAUAUAGGGUCAGUAAAUUCCAUAUGGGGAUUCGACCUUUGCUCUCACCCCCGUAUGUAAUUUGCUUAUCCCAUUUAUCGCAAAGGGUCACUAGCACACUAUGUAACAAAUAAUACUCACAGUUCUGAAUCGUGAUAUAUCCUAUCUACGCAGAACAGAGAAUUUAUGAAAAUGAGACAAUGAGACAUUUACACCAAAAAAUGUAAACAAACACGACAAUAAUGAAACUCAUCAUAGAUACCAGGAUUAAUAUUUUUUAUUUGCGCCAGACGAAGAAGACAGAUACAUAAACAGAUACAUAAACCUUUCUUGCGAACAGUUGUAUUAUUCUGUUUAACACAUUUUUUUUCUUUGUAGGUUUCUUGGAAAUUUGUAAACAAAUUGUUGUUUUAAGCAGUUCCAGAAUGCCAACCACA